UUUCCUACGGAGGCAGCAGUCGGGAAUUUUGAGCAAUGGGCGAAAGCCUGACCCAGCAACGCCGCGUGAAGGAUGAAAUCCCUCGGGAUGUAAACUUCGCAAGAACGGGAAGAAUAAGUAAGAGCUAACAUCUCUUAUGAUGACGGUACUGUUUGUAAGCUCCGGCUAACUCCGUGCCAGCAGCCGCGGUAAUACGGGGGAGCAAGCGUUGUUCGGAUUUACUGGGCGUAAAGGGCGCGUAGGCGGCCACCGCAAGUCAGUUGUGAAAUCUCUGGGCUUAACCCAGAAAGGUCAACUGAUACUGCGGGGCUAGAGUGCAGAAGGGGCAACUGGAAUUCUCGGUGUAGCGGUGAAAUGCGUAGAUAUCGAGAGGAACACCUGCGGCGAAGGCGGGUUGCUGGGCUGACACUGACGCUGAGGCGCGAAAGCUAGGGGAGCGAACGGGAUUAGAUACCCCGGUAGUCCUAGCCUUAAACGAUGAAUGCUUGGUGUCUGGGGUUUUAUAGUCCCCGGGUGCCGUCGCUAACGCUUUAAGCAUUCCGCCUGGGGAGUACGGUCGCAAGACUGAAACUCAAAGGAAUUGACGGGGGCCCGCACAAGCGGUGGAGCAUGUGGUUUAAUUCGACGCAACGCGAGAACCUUACCCAGGCUUGAACUGCAGAUGCCAUCCUACGAAA
rnacentral:rRNA from 1 species